CGAAUGAAGGGAUCCGAACACAGUCAGCAUGUAAACAAUCUUCAGCGCAAGUGACUCAGUGUGUGUGUCAUCUGUCAGAUUAUUUGCUCAAAAAUCUAGUUUCACGACUUUGUACACGCAUUUAUCAUCGCUAUGGGGCUGCACAGCAUAUUGAAGAAGCUGAAACAGAAAGAGCACGAAGUUCGGUUGCUUAUGCUCGGUCUCGACAAUGCUGGGAAGACAACAGUGGUCAAGAGAUUUUGUGGAGAAGACAUUAGCACAAUAUCCCCAACUUACGGCUUUAAUAUCAAGACAGUUGAACAUGUAGUGGAUAAAUAUGAAUAUAAAUUGAACAUAUGGGACGUAGGAGGACAAAGCUCACUUCGUUCAUACUGGAGGAAUUACUUCGAGUGCACAGACGGCCUUAUAUGGGUCGUGGACAGUGCGGAUGUUGAUCGCCUGAAAGAUUGCCAAGGGGAACUCAAGAAGCUUUUAGAGGAGGAGAGGUUGGCCGGGGCAACACUGCUCGUGUUUGCUAACAAGCAAGAUCUUCCAGAAGCCCUUUCCUCCGAGCAAAUAAGAGAUAUCCUGGACCUAAACAACCUCAAGACGCACCACUGGUACAUCUUGCCGUGCAGCGCUGUCACAGGCGAGAACCUGGUGGCAGGCAUAGACUGGCUCAUCCGAGAUAUUGCAGCUAGAAUAUUUACUUUGGAUUAAUAUUAUUUAUAAAGACAUUUGAUAUAGGUUCUUGAACUAGUAAUGUUCAGUGGUGUUUAAGAUGAGCUAGGAAACUAGAACUUUUGUGUGAAGGAAACGAGUGCACCGUCAAAAUAAAUGUUAAAUGAAUUGUGUUCUCGGGCAAUAUGCCAGUAAUACAAGCUGCUUAAUUAAAAUCUAAUGGAAUCAUUGUCGUCUUAGUAUGUAUUUGUGUUGUCUGUGAUGGUUUGUCUUCAUUAUCUCAUUAUUAAACUCCAUCUCACAUUUUAGGAAUAUGUUGCAUUUUCCUUAGAUAAGUAGUUUUUUUUUUGUAUUCAUUUUUGUGUUUUAUACAUGAGAAAAGGAAAUGUCCGUAGCUAGGUUACCAAAGGAAGUUUUGAUGGUGAUGAAUGCCCAUUGUAUAUGAAAAUUCAUUGUGAAGACAGGUGCUAUGUGUAGACAUUGACUUUCUAGUUUCAUGUCAUGUUAUAUUUGGUUAAGGAAGUGUUUUUCUAGUGAAUAAAUGUACUGUACAUUAACCAGACUAAACAAUAUUCAACAGAUAAAAGCUUUUGAUAGGAAUUGUAAAUUUUACAGUUUAAGGAAAAAAAUCAUCAGAUGCAACAUUUCAUUCUGUUUUUAAGAUUCUUUAGUUACACCCCACAUGAACCAAGUCUAAUUCUGAAACAUUAAACAUGCACAAUGCUCUCUUGUAAGGUAUGGAAGAAGAAACAGGCGAUUGAUCCUGAAUAUUUGAGUCAAAAAGAGAGGUAGGUAAUGUUAGAGGAGGAAAUAAUAAAAUUAUUUGGAUUUUUGUUUGUUUAUUUAUAACAGUAAACUUUUUCUUUUUCUUUUAUGCGAUGAAAUAUUGAAGGCUUCAGGGGUAAUAUUGAGAUUAUUAUUUUUUAUCCAAAAUCAUUUUACUCCAGCAUACUCAUGCCACUAAUGAUCUUAGAAAUAAUGAAAUGAAUAAUAAAAUCAAAAUCUAGAAUCCUCAGCCGUCAUGGUUGCCCAGGCAGCCAGUAGAGUAUCUUUGCCAUACAGCUAUUGCAACAGUUUUAUAUGAGGAAGAAUGGAAGGAAGUUCGCUUUUAUGUCUCAUUUUAACUUUGCCCAUGUGCUUUUCUCCAUAACAGCCAGUACUCUAGCUUGCAGCUCGUCUUAUCACUUUUCCCUAAAGGAGAUAUUUUUUAUGAAAAAUCAGCUGGCAGCCAAGUUUUCAACAGAUUUGCAAAUUUGAAAAAAAUAUAUGAAGUGGGUCACGUAUGGCUAGGUUCUGCAGUAUGAUUAUCAACUUCAUUUCAUACUUAUAUUUUAUCUAUUUUUUGGAGUUGACAGAGAAGGGAAGAUUGAAAGGCAUGUUAUUUUAUUUUUUUCUAUUUUUAGAGGUAUUACUCCCUAUGCUGUUCAGAUUUUCAGCAAACAUCUCAACUUUGGGAGAGUGAUUAAAAGCUCUAUGCAAAAUAGGUUUGAUUCAAAAAAGGGUUUAAUAGUGAACUGAAAGAAAAUAGGAACUCAAUUUUGCUGAUAUACCAAAGCCAGUUCUCAAAGUAAAUGACAAUUUUGAUUUGAAUAAUGACUGCACUUCUUACUACUAUUCUACAUUACUUUAUAUUAGUGUCACAGGAAGUCUAAACCUGAGGUUGUACACUAUCAUAUUCACAUCCAUAGAACUCAUGCCACUGUCAUAAAAUUAGAGUAUUAUCACAUGCAUUUCAGAUCAUUUUUCUCAUAAAUCACAUGGAAGAUUUUGAUGCACAUGUUUCACAGUAGGGAGAAUGUUCCUUUUUAUCCCUUGAACCGUCCAAGGAUAACCAUUAUUCAGUGCCCUUUUUAUUAACAUGUAUUUUCAUGUAAUAGAUUUUACUCACUAAACAAAUAAAGAAAAUUAAUUGAGAAGUAAAAGAAAAAGGGAAGGGUACUCAACCACAUACAUAUAUAGGAAGAAAUAAAACUCUGAAACAGCA
rnacentral:misc_RNA from 1 species